UACGUAGGGGGCGAGCGUUGUCCGGAAUUAUUGGGCGUAAAGAGCGUGUAGGCGGCCCGAUAAGUCCGCUCUGAAAGUCAGGGGCUCAACCCCUGAAUGCGGGUGGAUACUGCUGGGCUAGAGUCCGGAAGAGGCGAGUGGAAUUCCCGGUGUAGCGGUGAAAUGCGCAGAUAUCAGGAGGAACACCAAUGGCGAAGGCAGCUCGCUGGGACGGUACUGACGCGUGAGGCGACGAAAGGCGUGGGGAGUCAAACACGG
rnacentral:rRNA from 1 species